rnacentral:rRNA from 1 species
AGACCAGGACGUUGAUAGGCUGGGUGUGGAAGCGCAGUAAUGCGUUAAGCUAACCAGUACUAAUUGCCCGUAAGGCUUGAUCCU